rnacentral:rRNA from 1 species
CCAAGGCGCUUGAGAGAACUCGGGUGAAGGAACUAGGCAAAAUGGUACCGUAACUUCGGGAGAAGGUACGCCCCUGGUAUGUGAAGCGACUUGCUCGUGGAGCAGAAGGGGGUUGCAGUGACCAGAUGGCUGCGACUGUUUAGCAAAAACACAGCACUCUGCUAACACGAAAGUGGACGUAUAGGGUGUGACGCCUGCCCGGUGCCGGAAGGUUAAUUGAUGGGGUUAGCGUAAGCGAAGCUCUUGAUCGAAGCCCCGGUAAACGGCGGCCGUAACGAUAACGGUCCUAAGGUAGCGAAAUUCCUUGUCGGGUAAGUUCCGACCUGCACGAAUGGCGUAACGACUUCCCCGCUGUCUCCAGUGUAGACUCAGCGAAAUUGAAUUCUCCGUGAAGAUGCGGAGUUCCCGCGGUCAGACGGAAAGACCCCGUGCACCUUUACUACAGCUUGACAGUGGCAUUAGCGAUAAUUUGUGUAGGAUAGGUGGGAGGCUAUGAAACUUGGGCGCCAGCUCAGGUGGAGCCAACCUUGAAAUACCACCCUGGAAUGCUUGGAAAUCUAACCUAGGUCCGUUAUCCGGAUCGGAGACAGCGUAUGGUGGGUAGUUUGACUGGGGCGGUCUCCUCCCAAAGAGUAACGGAGGAGUGCGAAGGUGACCUCAGCGCGGUCGGAAAUCGCGCAAUGAGUGCAAAGGCAUAAGGUCGCUUAACUGCGAGACAGACACGUCGAGCAGGUGCGAAAGCAGGUCUUAGUGAUCCGGUGGUUCUGUAUGGAAGGGCCAUCGCUCAACGGAUAAAAGGUACUCCGGGGAUAACAGGCUGAUACCGCCCAAGAGUUCACAUCGACGGCGGUGUUUGGCACCUCGAUGUCGGCUCAUCACAUCCUGGGGCUGAAGUCGGUCCCAAGGGUAUGGCUGUUCGCCAUUUAAAGUGGUACGCGAGCUGGGUUUAGAACGUCGUGAGACAGUUCGGUCCCUAUCUGGUGUGGGCGUUGGAUGAUUGAUGGGAGCUGCUCCUAGUACGAGAGGACCGGAGUGGACGAACCGCUGGUGUUCGGGUUGUGAUGCCAAUCGCAUUGCCCGGUAGCUACGUUCGGAACGGAUAACCGCUGAAAGCAUCUAAGCGGGAAGCCGGCCCAGAGAUGAGUCAUCCCUGACAGUUUAACUGUCCUGAAGGGUUGUUUUAGACUAAGACGUUGAUAGGCAGGGUGUGGAAGCGUUGUAAGGCGUUAAGCUAACCUGUACUAAUUGCCCGA